UUCCUCUACGCUCUCCAAACCUACAUCCACCCCGAUGCCCAACCCUCCACCUCCAACGACCUUCGUGCUGCCAUUCGCCACCCUAGCAUCCGUAUUCUAGUUUUAAGUGAUACUGGUGUAGAUUGGCAAGUUGCCAGGUUGAAUGGCUUAGAUAAUCAUUGAUAGCUAUUGAAGAGCUACAUCUUAUUGAAAACAAUAUAAGCAGAGUACUAGUACAUUUUGUUUUUGGUUCAUUAUUCUCGUUAAACUAUGGAGAGCAGUUGAAUAAACAUUAGAAAUUGAACCAUUUGAUCACACUGCAAGAUUUCUCUAAAAGGUAUCACUUUGAAGUGUGUUGGAGUAUCCAUGGGUGAGAAGCAACCGUUGACAAAGAAGCUGCCAGUAACAACUACAGUUAAAAAUCUAUUCUUUUAUUAAUGUAAUGUUCACCCUGUUUAGACCUAACACAGUUUUUCUAAUUAACUUGUUUUUCUCAGGUUGGUAAGUUGAAAUUUAUGUGAGGGCUUUUUUAAACUGAAGUCAUUGGAGAUAUAGUUAUUUCUUCAAGAAGAGGUUUGUUUUCAUUGAAAAAAAAAGAAAUAGCACGUGUGUUCAAAUCACGAAUGCCUGAUUCAGUUAUCGGCGACUUAAUCUUGAAAAAUCAUUUCAUUUUCCCUUGAUAGAAAGAUCAGAUAUUGAAGAGGUUCUUUUGUGCUGAAAUUUCUACCCCAUUCUGAUUAGCUGCAACUAAUUUUAAAAGUUGGCUUGCAAAUGAAUGUAUUUUGAAGUGGUAGACUGAUUGAGUGUGGUUAUAGGCCAACAUUAGAUGUGUCAUGUGUGUUUGAGGCCCUGCUGAAUUGGAUUUUCUUUACCCUUUCAUGCCACAAAUAUUUUCUGAUUCCAUUGCAAACAGAUUUGGAUCUUGCACGCCAAAAAAGAAUAAUGGCAUUAUUUGGAAAAUGAGCUCAAAUCUAUUAUAAAUA